rnacentral:rRNA from 1 species
GACGAACGCUGGCGGCGUGCUUAACACAUGCAAGUCGAACGGAAAGGCCCUGCUUUUGUGGGGUGCUCGAGUGGCGAACGGGUGAGUAACACGUGAGUAACCUGCCCUUGACUUUGGGAUAACUUCAGGAAACUGGGGCUAAUACCGGAUAGGAGCUCCUGCUGCAUGGUGGGGGUUGGAAAGUUUCGGCGGUUGGGGAUGGACUCGCGGCUUAUCAGCUUGUUGGUGGGGUAGUGGCUUACCAAGGCUUUGACGGGUAGCCGGCCUGAGAGGGUGACCGGCCACAUUGGGACUGAGAUACGGGCCGGACUCCUACGGGAGGCAGCAGUGGGGAAUAUUGCACAAUGGGCGGAAGCCUGAUGCAGCAACGCCGCGUGCGGGAUGACGGCCUUCGGGUUGUAAACCGCUUUCGCCUGUGACGAAGCGUGAGUGACGGUAAUGGGUAAAGAAGCACCGGCUAACUACGUG